rnacentral:rRNA from 1 species
AUGAACGCUGGCGGCGUGCCUAAUCCAUGCAAGUCGAGCGAACGGACGAGAAGCUUGCUUUUCUGAUGUUAGCGGCGGACGGGUGAGUAACACGUGGAUAACCUACCUAUAAGACUGGGAUAACUUCGGGAAACCGGAGCUAAUACCGGAUAAUAUUUUGAACCGCAUGGUUCAAAAGUGAAAGACGGUCUUGCUGUCACUUAUAGAUGGAUCCGCGCUGCAUUAGCUAGUUGGUAAGGUAACGGCUUACCAAGGCAACGAUGCAUAGCCGACCUGAGAGGGUGAUCGGCCACACUGGAACUGAGACACGGUCCAGACUCCUACGGGAGGCAGCAGUAGGGAAUCUUCCGCAAUGGGCGAAAGCCUGACGGAGCAACGCCGCGUGAGUGAUGAAGGUCUUCGGAUCGUAAAACUCUGUUAUUAGGGAAGAACAUAUGUGUAAGUAACUGUGCACACCUUGACGGUACCUAAUCAGAAAGCCACGGCUAACUACGUG